rnacentral:rRNA from 1 species
AUACGACCAUACCACCGGUAAUAUACCCGAUCCCUGCCGAACUCGGAAGUCAAGCCCGGUUGGGCCCGCUUAGUACUGGGGUGGGGGACCACCCGGGAACCGCGCGGUGUUGUAU